rnacentral:tmRNA from 1 species
GACUGGAUUUGACAGCAGGUAGAGAUGGCAGGUAAGCAUGCAGUGCGCCUGAAGGUGGGCACUAUAAUCUCGGCUUUCAAAAAUUUAAUUGGCGAAAAUAACUACGCUCUCGCUGCUUGAUCGAAGUAUAGUACAUCAGCUUAAUUCCGACUAACGAUUGUUGGAACGAGACAUCGCUCAAGAGCUCUUUUUCCGAAGCGUCUUGAUUCAGCGGUGCUAUUAUAUCGGGAAUAGUCACGUCUUGGCUUCGCAAGCGUGGCGAAACACUUAGAAGAUAAGGUUGCAGCGCGGGUGGCUUUGGCCUUGUUGCGACACGAAAACCUCAAAGCAAAGAUAAGCAUGUAGAAAGCUUGUUAUUUCCUUGUUUGGACGAGGGUUCAAUCCCCUCCUGGUCCAC